GCUCGGAAUCACUGGGCGUAAAGGGUGCGUAGGCGGGUCUUUAAGUUAGGGGGGAAAUCCUGGAGCUCAACUCCAGAACUGCCUUUGAUACUGAGGAUCUUGAGUUCGGGAGAGGUGAGUGGAACUGCGAGUGUAGAGGUGAAAUUCGUAGAUAUUCGCAAGAACACCAGUGGCGAAGGCGGCUCACUGGCCCGGUACUGACGCUGAGGUGCGAAAGCGUGGGGAGCAAACAGG
rnacentral:rRNA from 1 species